AAAAUAAUCCUACCCUUUGUGAAUUUUGUUUGUUUGAAUAAUUUUUUUUUUUAAAAAAUUAUUGGAGUCUUUCCCUUUAGAGUUUGCUUUUGAGUUUGUAAAAGAAUUCGAAAACAUCUAAAGGGGAUGGUCAAUAAUUUUUUUUGAAAAAAGACAUUUUUUAAAAUUAAACUUUUUGUAUUCAUUUGUCUAAAAAUUAUUUUUAUAAUACAAAAACAACUUUUGACAAUGGAUCUCUUGGUUCUCGCAACGAUGAAGAACGCAGCAAAAUGCGAUAAGUAGUGUGAAUUGCAGAAUACGUGAAUCAUCGAAUCUUUGAACGCAUAUUGCACUUUUUUAGUUUACUAAAAAAGUAUGUCUGUUUGAGUAUCAGUAAAAUAUUCUCAUAAAAAUCAUUGUGUAUUUUUAUGGUUAUGAGUGUUUUACAACGAUACAAGUUGUUUCACUUUAAAUUUUUUUUAAUAUUGAAAUUUUUCUAAUUUUAAUAAUUAAAAUUGGAUAAAAUUUUCCCGUCAAAAGGAAUAACCUAAACAAUUUUAAAUGAUUAAUUUUAGCAAAAUUUUCGUAAAAAAGGAAAAUUUUUAUUAAAAUAACUUGAUCUCAAAUCAGAUAAGAGUACCCGCCGAACUUAAGCAUAUCAAUAAGCGGAGGAAAAGAAACUAACAAGGAUUCCCUUAGUAACGGCGAGUGAAGCGGGAAGAGCUCAAAUUUGAAAUCUUCAAGGUUUUACCUUGACGAAUUGUAGUUUAAAGAAGUGUUUUCUGCUGAAGUUUUGGUAAAAGUUCUUUGGAAUAGGACAUCAUAGAGGGUGAGAAUCCCGUAUUUGACCAUUAUUUUCAGCUUUGUGAUACACUUUCAAAGAGUCGGAUUGUUUGGGAAUGCAGUCCAAAAUGGGUGGUAAAUUUCAUCUAAAGCUAAAUAUUGGCGAGAGACCGAUAGCGAACAAGUACCGUGAGGGAAAGAUGAAAAGAACUUUGAAAAGAGAGUUAAACAGUACGUGAAAUUGUCAAAAGGGAAGCGUUUGACACCAGUGUUGUUUUCUCGAAAAUCAAUUAAAAAUGGCUCGAUUUUGUAUUGCUUGAGACCUUAAAAGCUCACUGUACAUUUUUCGUGUCUUUUUUAAUGCACUUUUCGUUUAACAAGUCAACAUCAGUUUCUUUUGUUGUAAAAGGGUCAUUGGAAGGUGGCUUUCUUUUCGGAGAAAGUGUUUAUAGCCUUUGGCCUCUGCAAUCGGAGAGACGGAGGUCUGCAGCGUAGACUCUUCGGGGUUAGAUACAUUUGUGCUAAGUUAUAGCUUUUUAUAGACAACUUGCUGACUAUAAUUAGUCUUGUAGCUUACUCGCUUAUGCUAUUU
rnacentral:misc_RNA from 1 species